rnacentral:rRNA from 1 species
GUGCCAAGCAGCCGCGGUAAAACCAGCACCUCAAGUGGCCAGGAUGAUUAUUGGGCCUAAAGCAUCCGUAGCCGGCUCUGUAAGUUUUCGGUUAAAUCUGUACGCUCAACGUACAGGCUGCCGGGAAUACUGCAUAGCUAGGGAGUGGGAGAAGUAGACGGUACUCGGUAGGAAGUGGUAAAAUGCUUUGAUCUAUCGAUGACCACCUGUGGCGAAGGCGGUCUACUAGAACACGUCCGACGGUGAGGGAUGAAAGCUGGGGGAGCAUACCGGAUUAGAUACCCGGGUAGUCCCAGCUGUAAACUAUGCAAACUCAGUGAUGCAUUGGCUUGUGGCCAAUGCAGUGCUGCAGGGAAGCCGUUAAGUUUGCCGCCUGGGAAGUACGUACGCAAGUAUGAAACUUAAAGGAAUUGGCGGGGGAGCACCACAAGGGGUGAAGCCUGCGGUUCAAUUGGAGUCAACGCCAGAAAUCUUACCCGGAGAGACAGCAGAAUGAAGGUCAAGCUGAAGACUUUACCAGACAAGCUGAGAGGUGGUGCAUGGCCGUCGCCAGCUCGUGCCGUGAGAUGUCCUGUUAAGUCAGGUAACGAGCGAGAUCCCUGCCUCUAGUUGCCACCAUUACUCUCAGGAGUAGUGGGGCGAAUUAGCGGGACCGCCGCAGUUAAUGCGGAGGAAGGAAGGGGCCACGGCAGGUCUGUGAUGCCCAA